rnacentral:tRNA from 1 species
GGGGCUGUAGCUCAGUGGUACAGUGCUUGCCUUGCAUGUAUGGGCACUGGGUUCAAUCCUCAGCACCACA